rnacentral:tRNA from 1 species
GGGCCCAUAGCUCAGUUGGUUAGAGCAGAGGACUCAUAAUCCUUGGGUCGCUGGUUCGAGUCCAGCUGGGCCCACCA